rnacentral:rRNA from 1 species
AGGACGAACGCUGGCGGCGUGCCUAACACAUGCAAGUCGAACGGGGCCCGCAAGGGUUCAGUGGCGAACGGGUGCGUAACACGUGAAGAACUUGUCCAUCGGCGGGGGAUAGCCGGCCCAACGGCCGGGUAAUACCGCGUACGCUUGUCGGAUGGCAUCACCUGACAAGGAAAGCAGCAAUGCACCGAUGGAGAGCUUCGCGGCCUAUCAGCUAGUUGGCGGGGUAAUGGCCCACCAAGGCGACGACGGGUAGCUGGUCUGAGAGGAUGACCAGCCACAUUGGGACUGAGACACGGCCCAGACUCCUACGGGAGGCAGCAGUGGGGAAUAUUGCACAAUGGGGAAACCCUGAUGCAGCGACGCCGCGUGCGGGAUGAAGGCCUUCGGUUGUAAACCGCUUUCAGCAGGGACGAAUUUAAGACGGUACCUGCAGAAGAAGCGCCGGCUAACUACGUGCCAGCAGCCGCGUAA